UACGAAGGGGGCGAGCGUUGUUCGGAUUUACUGGGCGUAAAGGGCGCGCAGGCGGCUCAUUUUGUCAGGCGUGAAAGCCCCGGGCUUAACCUGGGAGGUGCGUUUGAUACGGAUGGGCUAGAGUUCGGGAGAGGAGAGUGGAAUUCCCAGUGUAGAGGUGAAAUUCGUAGAUAUUGGGAAGAACACCGGUGGCGAAGGCGGCUCUCUGGACCGAGACUGACGCUGAGGCGCGAAAGCGUGGGGGAGCAAACAGG
rnacentral:rRNA from 1 species